UUUUCGUCUUGUUUAUGGUUUCCUUUGCUGUGCAAAAGCUUUUAAGUUUCAUUAGGUCCCAUUUGUUUAUUUUUGCUUUUAUUUCCAUUUCUCUAGGAGGUGGGUCAAAAAGGAUCUUGCUGUGAUUUUUGUCAUAGAGUGUUCUGCCUAUGUUUUCCUCUAAGAGUUUGAUAGUUUCUGGCCUUACAUUUAGGUCUUUAAUCCAUUUUGAGCUUAUUUUUGUGUAUGGUGUUAGGGAGUGAUCUAAUCUCAUACUUUUACAUGUACCUGUCCUGUUUUCCCAGCACCACUUAUUGAA